rnacentral:rRNA from 1 species
ACGCUGGCGGCACGCCUAAUACAUGCAAGUCGAACGCAGUAGCAAUACUGAGUGGCAGACGGGUGAGUAUAAUGUGGGUAUCUGCCUUUUGGUUUGGAAUAACUCGGGGAAACUUGAGCUAAUACCGAAUAAGCCCUUACGGGGAAAGAUUUAUCGCCGAAAGAUGAGCCCGCACUUGAUUAGCUUGUUGGUGAGGUAAAAGCUCACCAAGGCAACGAUCAAUAGCUGUUCUUAGAGGAAGACCAGCCACAUUGGGACUGAGACACGGCCCAGACUCCUACGGGAGGCAGCAGUAGGGAAUCUUGCACAAUGGGGGAAACCCUGAUGCAGCGAUGCCGCGUGAGUGAAGAAGGCCUUUGGGUUGUAAAACUCUUUCGUCGGGGAAGAAAAUGACGGUACCCGAAUAAGAAGGUCCGGCUAACUUCGUGCCAGCAGCCGCGGUAAUACGAAGGGAUCUAGCGUAGUUCGGAAUUACUGGGCUUAAAGAGCUCGUAGGUGGUUAAAAAAGUUGGUGGUGAAAUCCCAAGGCUCAACCUUGGAACUGCCAUCAAAACUUUUUAGCUUGAGUGUGAUAGAGGAAAGUGGAAUUUCUAGUGUAGAGGUGAAAUUCGUAGAUAUUAGAAAGAACACCAAAAGCGAAGGCAACUUUCUGGAUCACUACUGACACUGAGGAGCGAAAGCAUGGGUAGCGAAGAGGAUUAGAUACCCUCGUAGUCCAUGCUGUAAACGAUGUGUGCUAGACGUUGGAAAUUUAUUUUUCAGUGUCGCAGCAAAAGCGUUAAGCACACCGCCUGGGGAGU